rnacentral:pre_miRNA from 1 species
AGUGUGAUUCCUGGAUCAUACAGUAAGAACAUGAUUAACUUUGUAAGAAACUGCCAAACUGUCUUCCAAAGUGGCUGCACUGUUUUGCAUUUCCAUCAGCAGU